UACGGGGGGGGCAAGCGUUGUUCGGAAUUACUGGGCGUAAAGGGCUCGUAGGCGGCCAACUAAGUCAGACGUGAAAUCCCUCGGCUUAACCGGGGAACUGCAUCUGAUACUGGAUGGCUUGAGUUCGGGAGAGGGAUGUGGAAUUCCAGGUGUAGCGGUGAAAUGCGUAGAUAUCUGGAGGAACACCGGUGGCGAAGGCGGCAUCCUGGACCGGUAUUGACGCUGAUGCGCGAAAGCCAGGGGAGC
rnacentral:rRNA from 1 species